AAGAUUAUCGUGAGUUAUAAACGUGUUUUACACUAGACGCAUCCAAGGUGGCGCGCGCCAUCGUGACGUUAAAAUGACGUAACAUCCUGCCGUCGUGCACG